ensembl:lncRNA
CAUUUUAAACAUAAGAUAACCACAGGUUAGAGAGAUUACAUAACUUGCUCAAGGCCAGCAGUAAUCCCUUUAAGAGACAAAUACUUUGUCUUGGUUUCUGCCAAAAUUAAAUGAAAAAAAAAGACACAGGAGUAUAUGUACUUCUCUUUAAUAAUAUAUUUGAUGAUAUAUGAUUUUUCUGCAUUUGCUAUAUACUAAUCAUUAUGCUAAAUACUCUUCAUAAAUAUUCAUAUUUUAGUUUUACCAUAACCUUAUGGAAAAGUCACUGUUAUCUUCAUUUUACAGAUGAGAAAAUGGUAGCUAAAUAAUUUACCCAAGAUGAUUAAUAAGUAGCAGAGCUGGAAAUUUAAACCCAGGUCUGCAUCACAUCCAAGAAAUAUUAGUUAUAAUAAAUUAUUUUCAAUAGCACAAGUGGAGUCCUUUAAUAAAAUAUUGAUUUUGCCCAGCAUUGUUAGGCAUUUUAUAAUUUUAUAUAUUUUAAAAUUUAAGUUCGACACUUUCUCUCCCCUCACAAUAUUAAAUACAGGUUGUUAACCUUUAAUUUCCUAUUUGGGAUUCUUAAAUACUUCUGUCAAAGAUAAUUUUCUACAUCAUUUAAACUCAGAAAGGUUUUAAGUAUCCAAGGAAGUGAUUUUAGAAAUCAAGUAGUUCAGUUGGAUAAAGAAAAUGGCAUAAAGGAAAGUGGGGUUUGUCACCAUCACAUGGGUUUUAGAUAAAACAUUUCCUAACUUUGCCGACAAUCCCCUUCCCAUCACAUCUGAGCUAUGAAUAGUUUCUACAAUUAUUUGUUUUUGUGGAUCAGGACACAGUAAUAAUAAUAAUAACAGUAUUGGUAUUACAACAAUCAACACUUAUGGAGACUUUGCCUUGUAUGGUUCUUUUCCAUGUUCUUUACAUUUAUUACCUCAUUUAAGCCUCAAAAACAUUGUAAGGCUGGUACAGUUAUGAUUCACAUUUUAUAAGCAAAGGAUUAAACUCAGAGAGCUUAAGAAUCUUUCAAGGUCACAGAGCAGGUAAACCGAAGUCAGCCUAGAUCAGACUGAAGGCUCUUAACUUUCACGCUGUAAUUUCUCUGCAGGCCAUGCUCAGCGCUCAGUCUUGCUAUUUCUUCCCUCUCCACAGCAAGGGGCCCUUAACUUUUAUGAGCAUGCUGAUCCCUGGCUAAGCCACCAGAACCAAUUAUGAUCUGAAGCUGGAGAGAUUUGAAGUCAACUCUGCUGCUUGCGUGGCAUCUGCUCCCCAUCUGCACCUCUUGCCUCUUCUUACAUCACUGCAGGUCUCCUCUUCCAGGCAGCUGGUGGUACCUCCUCCUGGGAAUGCAGGUCUCUGGGAUGGAUUGUGAGCUCCUACCCACUGUUGGUAGAGUCUGAGCACUGAUAGUUAACUUCUGUUAUAACCACUUUCACAGUUCACUCCUGGGUGAGAACCGAUUUUCUAUUAGGAUAUUAACCUGGGGAGACCAGUUCUAGAGAAAGUACUGAUCACUAGGACUAAAUUAUAUUUAGCAUGCUUUCAAUAUAUACAGGAGAAAUCAUUUUGGUGUUGUCCCUUUUUGGACAAAAGAGCCUCUUAAAUCCAGUGAGUAGAAUGUUACCACAUCAAGAGAUAAUUUCUUCCUCAGAAUUGACCUUUUGUAGGUGAAUAUCUUCAGUAGAAUAAGUCUUCUGUUAACCUAAGCCAUAUCAUGAAUCUCUACUGUCUAACUGAUUAAUGAGAACUCCAUUGCUGAAGACCUCCAUUUUGACCUUAAAAUGAAUUAUUGAUUUUUAAAAUUUGGUAUUGGAUGACUAUGAUUUCUUUUUUUGGUUGGUUUUGUUUUGUUUUUGCUUUUUAGGGCCAAAUCUGUGGCAUAUAGAGGUUCCCAGGCCAGGGGUCAAAUCAGAGCUACAGCUGCCAGCCUACACCACAGCCACAGCAACUCGGAAUCCAAGCCAUGUCUGUGACCUACACCACAGCUCACGGCAAUGUUGGAUCCUUAACCCACUGAGGGAGGCCAGGGAUUGAAUUCACCGUCUCAUGGUUACUAGUCAGAUUCAUUUCUGCUGCACCACAAUGGGAACUCCUAUGAUUUCCUAAUAUUACAUUUCUUGGUAAAAGUUUACUAGUUGUGGAAAUCUAAGAAAACGAGUGUUCUAGUAUCUCAGGAAAUUCAAACCAAGCUUAUGUAUUAAAAGCAUUAUUUAUUUAUUUAUCUGACUGUGAUAGAACCCAUGCCAAAGCAGUGACCAUGUCGGAUCCAUAACUGCUAGGCUGCCAGAAAACUCCUAAAAAACAUUUUAAAGGUAAUUGCUAUUUUAAAAUUAUUUAAUAAGGAGGAUUUCCCAUAGCGGCUCAGUGGUAAUGAACCUGACUAGUAUCCAUGAGGAUAUGGGUUCCAUCCCUGGCCUUGCUCAGUGGGUUAAGGAUCCAGCAUUGUUGUGAGCUAUGGUGUAGGCCAGCAGCUGAGGCUCUGAUUUGACCCCUAGCCUGGGAGCUUCCAUGUACUGUGGGUGUGGCCCUAAAAAGACGGAAAAAAAAAUUGUUUAAUAAGGAAAGAUUAUUAUUUGUCAUUUCUAAAUCCUUUGAAAAAUCAGGCAAAUGGAAAAUAACUUAAGGAUCUGACUGCUGCAAGUCUUAUUCUAGUAACUGAGGAAUCUAGAUUCAGAAAUUCAAAGUAAUCGCAAGCUGCUUGGGGCAAAGGUGAAGAAAGGAAGGGAGAGAUAAUAAAAAUCAAGCAUACAGUUUCUAUAAGAUUUUUGGGCAGUAAAUCUCAACUCUUAUAUCUCAGUCCUAUCCUAAAAUAAACAUGUAAUGAAGCAUACCAAUGCUGUGUGUUGUUAAGAAGUGUCAUCCAGUCAUAUAGAGUUUAGAAGGAAAUUGAUGGAAAACCACUAGGAUCCUUUUAGUGAGAAUUUCAGAGACAUUUAAUUAAAAUGAAUUCUGUUCUGUCUGGUCAACACUGAUAACUUGUGAAAAGGAAAACCCAUCCAUACUGCUAUUAUUAAAUGUUGAGGAUCUGGAAAAAUCACAUACAGAUGAGGGCACAGAUGUUUGUUUUGGGCAUAAUGCAGUUGUACGAAUCUGUAGACUUACUUGUAAAAUGGCAUUUUUAGCUAAGUAUUUUAUGUUUUCAGUAUGCUUGAGUUAGACAGAGGAAUGCAGUAAGAUAACCGCCAAAUGCAGGAACCUGGUCAAGAGAAGUUUACUGUCUCUGUGGUUGAGUAAAGUAAAAAUCAACCCAGAGUGCAUAAGAAUUUCAUGUGAAGAGAAACCUACCUUGCUGAUAAAUUGAGGGUAUUUCUCAAGUCUUUAUUUAGAGAGUGGGUGUGCCCUUAAAGAAUUUACGAUGAGAAUGUGAAGGCAGAUGUAGAGAAACUGAAGUCACCUCAACGGUGUAGUGGUCUGACUAAUCUGUGAGGUAAGGAUGAGUUAGGGAAGGAGUUACUUAGAGCCCAGACAUGUCUCCUAGUUCUUUUUGCCAGUAACCAGGAAUAACCAUUCCUAAAUGAAGUGUUGAUUCUCUUGGAUUAAAAUUAUCCCAGAGAUAAUUCUAUAUGACCACGAAUUUAGUGGAAUUUUUCUUGGGAACCUUUCUGACUUUCUUGUCCUAAUUUAUUCCUCACCAGUCUUCCAUCUAAAACUCAAACAGGGAGUUCCCAUUGUGGCGCAGCAGAAGCAAAUCUGGAAACAAAUCCGACUAGGAACCGUGAAGUUGUGGGUUCAAUCCCUGGCCUUGCUCAGUGGGUUAAGGAUCUGGCGUUGCCUUGAGCUGUGGUGUAGGUUGCAGACGCGGCUCAGAUCUGGCGUUGUUGUGGCUGUGGUGUAGGCUGGCAGCUCUGUAGCUCGAUUUGACCCUAGCCUGGGAACCUCUAUAUGCCAUAGGUGUGGCCCUGAAAA